rnacentral:rRNA from 1 species
UACAGAGGUCUCAAGCGUUGUUCGGAUUCAUUGGGCGUAAAGGGUGCGUAGGCGGCGCGGUAAGUCGGGUGUGAAAUCUUGGAGCUUAACUCCGAAACUGCAUUCGAUACUGCCGUGCUUGAGGACUGGAGAGGAGACGUGGAAUUUACGGUGAGCGGUGAAAUGCGUAGAUAUCGUAAGGAAGACCAGUGGCGAAGGCGGGUCUGCUGGACAGUUC